rnacentral:misc_RNA from 1 species
UCUUCAGAUGAUGAUCCCAAGCCUUCUGGCGAUCUAGAAAAACAAGCCUUAACUUUAGGCUUUCGGAAAACAUUUUUGUUUUUAUAAAAUGAUGUGUUUUUAUGAGAUUAUGCCGGGGAAGGUUUUCCGGUUUAUCCCGGAGGGCUUGUAGCUCAGUUGGUUAGAGCGCGCGCUUGAUAAGCGUGAGGUCGGAGGUUCAAGUCCUCCCAGGCCCACCAAUUACUCCAUCUAUUUACUUUAUCUGUUUCUUUAUUCAGGAGCGGAUAACAGUUUUAUAAAAGGAUUAUGGCGCUUAUCUCUUUUGCUUAAGCACUUCAAAGUUCACCCAGUGCAAAUGUAAAGCGAUGCGAAUUUGCUACAAAUUUGCACUGUCUAUUUUAACAGUUAGAGCAUAUUUAACAUUUUGAAAUCCUUUAUCCUGUUUUAGGGGCCGUAGCUCAGCUGGGAGAGCACCUGCUUUGCAAGCAGGGGGUCGUCGGU